rnacentral:misc_RNA from 1 species
CCCUUCCCUUCUGUGUGCUGCCCCUUCAUCGGAGCGUAUUUUUCCUCCUCUCACUACGAGUCGGUACAGCGCAUCUGCCGACGGUCGGCACCGGCGUGGCGCCUUCCUUGUCGACGUGGCGCUGUAGCCUCCAUAGACCAUUUCCACUCGCUCCCCUGUACAGCACAAAGGACCGGCGUCAACGCACGUCUGUCUUUAUAUAGAUCCUCGAACACACUAUUCAUUUCCUGUUGCACAUAGACAACCUGAUUGCAUGCGUCUUCUUGCCCUUAUCCUGUGAGCUCCCUCCCUUGCACUGAUGCCCGCCACUCUUUCUGCUGAUGCGGCGCUACCGUCAACCGAAGCUCCUUCAGUCGCUGAAGCGCACGGGUAUCGCUCGCUGCACGGCGACUUCAACUACUACCCCACAAGCACACACAAGCGCCGAGCGCCGUGUGAGGCGAGCAGCGGGGCAGCUGCAGGGACAACCAACCGCGUGGAAGAAGUGGCUCUGUCUCCUUCAACGCAUUGUCGCGCCGGAAGGGCAGACACCUCCCCGAGCCCUUCCGGUCUGAGCCGUAGCCCGUCGCAAGGGACGCUGGAUAUCGGCUCGCUCGCGCGGCUCUCUUCGUCACAGCCGCUGGCAUCCAUGCCACAUGAGGGCAAUGCUGCUCUCAAAUCCGCUUCUGUAUCGCGGCGCUUCGCAAAGGGCGGGACGCCGUUGCUUCAUCGAUACCGCACCUCCCGCGCGGACAUUGCGCCGCUGGCACUACACCGAAGCGCAUCGCUGCCGUUGCAAACCAGUACUUGUAACCCUGUCGCGACGGGCGUGACCACGAAGCGGCUAAACAACAUCCGACGCAGCCUUCUGCACACGCGCUCAGCGGCACCUUCAAAACCUCAUGCCGGGCCAGUUUCACCCAAAGAUGAUGCGGUUGCGCGGGAGGCGGUGCUGCAUGAUUCGCGAGUUACCCCGCUGCGGACCCAGCAGCUCCCGCCAUCUACCACGAGUUUCUCUCGCAAGAGAGCCGACAACGCUGAUACAGAGGUGCCACUGACGUCUGUUCGUUUAGUGGAUGCCGCACCUGCGUCAUCAUCGAGCUUAAAGAAAAGCGCCGCAGCUCCAGUACCGCCUGUCGCGGCAUCAAGGCGCGCGACAGGCACGCCGGGUGUGAACGAUGUGCUUGUGGAAGGCGAAAUCUGUAGGAAAGGAGAAGGCCAAGAUGUCGGCACUGUGCCGUUGUCUGAGCAAACGCAUCCCGCCUCGCUGCUGUCGAGGAGCGUGGCGGCUGCACUUUACUGCCACGAUAAGGACUGCAUGCACAGCGAGCAAUCCAUCUGUGAGUUUAUCCACAUGCAGAGAGAGCUGCGCCGCUGCUACGCCACGAUGGAAAACUACGAAGUCGUAAUCGCGCAGCUCCGUGAUGACUGCGCUUUAUCCAGGGCGCAGCUUUGCCGAUCUCAGCAGGAGCACGCGCAGCACGGGAAGGAAAUGGAGGCGCAAGUGCGGGCGGAGCUCACGGAGCAGACAAAUGCACUACUUUCGGCGCUACGACAAUCGGGGGCGAGUGAUGCAUCGUGUCUGAAGACUUCGGCGGGGCCAGACCGUAACACAAAGGAUGCUGCAGAAGAAUGUCUUAGGGACACGUGGCAGGCUACAUUAGAUGAGCUACGUCGCGCGUUGCGGGAGGAGCAGUCGGCUCAUGCCGAGUGUCUCGCGCGGCUCACGGAGGCGCUGGCGGCGAAAGCACGAUGGAAGUCGCGCGCCGUCGAAUUGCUCAAGUGGAGAAAGCAGGUGUGUGGCAAAAUAUAUAUGUCCUCGACACCUUCAUCUUCCUCGUUUGCAGCAGGCGCAAGGGCCAUCGGCGCAUGUGGGGCGCCGCCAGGCGUAUCCACGAUCGGUAACUGCGCAAGCGACUCCCAGGCCGGGCCCAAUGCAGGGAACUCGGCCUCUGAUGCGUCAUCGCCGUCCCAACGCCUUUAUCGCCCUCCGUCGCUCUACAAACCACCUCCAUGUGCCUCGUCGCCGUCUGAGGCCGGAAAGCUGCGCAGUUCUAUGACGUCGGAGGCCAGCACUGCUCUGCCCGCUUCGCCCUACGAGGGGGCCACCGGCGAUUGCGCGUCGGACAAGGAGAACGAGAAGGACAGCAGCAGUAUGCCUGGUGUGGAUAUGAACUGUCAAAGCGACACAACGGUGGCGAGCUUCUUGUCCCCAAGCGCCACCCCAGCUGGGCGUGUUGCGCAGGCUCUGGGAAGCGGUGUCGUUGUAGUGUGGCCGCCGCUCGCGGAAGGGCAAGAAAUGUCCACUGGGAAAUCUGCCGAGUCGUCACGAACGCAGUCAUCGACAACAGCCGCCGCUCUGGAAUCGGGAGACCCAGCGCUCUUGGAUGAUGCUGGAAAGCAGGGGCUGCAGCCUUCGCCCACAAUCAGCUCAGUUUCCCCUGGUGUGUUGCCGAGUAGUGUAGGCCGCUACACCACGAGCGCCGUUGGAAGUCGCACGCAGGACGGCUGUCGGCUACCAUUGGUAGGUUGUGAGAAGACCGUGGUGGCAGCUGAGCCGCUGCGAGUCAUGCCGGAUCCGUUCGCCUUUCCAAGGCCGCCGCCAUCUGGUGGUGAGGCGUGUACUAUUUAUAGUGUUUUGCCAACGUCAGAUGGGCUGCCCACUUCAUGCGACGUUUCUGCCGCCAUGGCGUCUGGCCCUGCGGAGAGGCAGUGCAAAGAGCUUCUUCGCGCUUUGCUUGACAAGGAGCAACAGCUGGCGUUGAUCGCGGAGGAGCGAACCAAGUACAAACGUCUCUACGAAGCAACACGAAGCUGAGACUCCGCACAGAGGACGACCACCGUGCUUGCCGCCGCUAGAUGGGCCCGUUGUAAUCUUUUCUGCAGCAUAAAUGACGAUCCCGACGACGAGGGACACACACCUCAAUGCAUGGUGUCAGGGUCCAGUACACCCACUCUGUCUGGGGGAAGCCGCGCAGCCCCCUCCCCCCCUCCGCUGUCCUUGCCAGUGCCGAGCCACUGCUGGUGGUGGCAGGGUUGAGCACCUAAGGCGUGGGGAGGUCAGAGCAAUCUAUCGCUGAUGACGUCGGCGGCCAGGUUCCGGAUGGCGCUGCGUCGGAGCGGCCUGCUACAGUGCACAACGCUUGUGCCAUCCAUGUGAUAGGUAAAGCGUCAGCGUGGCUUUAACGCAUCUCGUGCAGCCCUCCGAAUAGACACGUUGAAGUAAUGAAUGACAUACAGGAAGCUGCGAACAAGGGGUGGUGGUGGCGCAGCUCAUCUCCAUCUUCCUGACGGCCUCUUUUUUCCCCCAAUCAAGUUCGAAGAGGGGCUUUCGUUCUGCUGUCAUUACGAAGACGGCACACGCAUCGAAGGAAGAGGUGCACUCCAAAAGGCGAACGCAAAGAACGCGCCGAUUUACGCAUGUGCUGAGCACGACUGCGUUCGAAACAAAAACAAAACAAACGAAAAGGCAACAGAAACGCAGAACCACGUACGCAGCGCACGGCGGUGACUUCACGCGCUCUUAGAAGGAUGUCGAUUUUCAAUUUACUCGUUGGUGCCCCUUUCUGCUGUGGUGCUCUUUUCUGUUUGUCUCAUCCUUGUCACCAUGUGCGUAUGCGUGCACGCUCGAUAGGUGAGACAGGCAUCCUUGCAUGAAGGCAUGUCGGCAUCCUUUUUCAAUUCUUUUUUUUUCCUGUGCGAGAGGGGUGGGAGGUAAGCUCUGCCCGCUUUACGCCGGCGGUGCCCUCUCUCUCUCGGACAAGGAAGCUGACAGAAAACGAAAAAACCACUCACCCACGGAGCACCUGUCACUUCAAUGGACGCUUGGCCGUCUCCUCUUCACUGGAACGAACUUCUUCACUGUUGUUUUUGCACCUUGUAUUCCCUUCUACACACGAACUCCCCCUCACCCCAUAUUUAUUCAAUUCUGCCUGUACCACUGGCGGCAG